rnacentral:rRNA from 1 species
GAUGAACGCUAGCGGGAGGCUCAACACAUGCAAGUCGUGGGGCAGCACGGUGUAGCAAUACACUGGUGGCGACCGGCGCACGGGUGAGUAACGCGUAUGCAACCUGCCCUGUACAGGGGGAUAGCCCGGAGAAAUUCGGAUUAAUACCCCAUAAAGAUAUCGAGAGGCAUCUUUUGAUAUUUAAAGCUUCGGCGGUACGGGAUGGGCAUGCGUGACAUUAGCUAGUUGGUAGGGUAACGGCCUACCAAGGCUUCGAUGUCUAGGGGUCCUGAGAGGGUGUUCCCCCACCCUGGUACUGAGACACGGACCAGACUCCCACGGGAGGCAGCAGUGAGGAAUAUUGGUCAAUGGGCGACAGCCUGAACCAGCCAUCCCGCGUGAAGGAAGAAGGCGCUAUGCGUUGUAAACUUCUUUUCCAGAGGAAUAAAAUUUCGUACGUGUACGGAACUGAAGGUACCCUGGGAACAAGCAUCGGCUAACUCCGUGCCAGCAGCCGCAGUAAUAC